rnacentral:SRP_RNA from 1 species
AACUACCCAUAUCCAAUAUUAAGCAACGAAUCAGGUCAGGUCGUGAUUGAAGCAGCCUUAAGUUUCCCUUAGUAUGUGGGUGUGGGUACUUAGA